UGGGGAAUAUUGCGCAAUGGGCGGAAGCCUGACGCAGCAACGCCGCGUGAGGGAACGAAGGCCUUCGGGUUGUAAACCUCUUUCAGCAGGGACGAAGCGGAAGUGACGGUACCUGCAGAAGAAGCACCGGCUAACUACGUGCCAGCAGCCGCGGUAAUACGUAGGGUGCGAGCGUUGUCCGGAUUUAUUGGGCGUAAAGGGCUCGUAGGCGGUCCGUCACGUCGGAAGUGAAACCCCGGGGCUCAACUCCGGGCCUGCUUUCGAUACGGGCGGACUUGAGUUCGGUAGGGGAGACUGGAACUCCUGGUGUAGCGGUGGAAUGCGCAGAUAUCAGGAAGAACACCGAUGGCGAAGGCAGGUCUCUGGGCCGAUACUGACGCUGAGGAGCGAAAGCGUGGGG
rnacentral:rRNA from 1 species